GUGAGCCGCAUGCGGUGAAAGCCGCACGUGCUGGUUCUUGGAAGGGGGAGGGGUGGUAACACCUCUUCCCUAUUCGAC
rnacentral:ncRNA from 1 species